GAUGAACGCUGGCGGCGUGCCUAAUACAUGCAAGUCGAGCGAACGGACGAGAAGCUUGCUUCUCUGAUGUUAGCGGCGGACGGGUGAGUAACACGUGGAUAACCUACCUAUAAGACUGGGAUAACUUCGGGAAACCGUAGCUAAUACCGGAUAAUAUUUUGAACCGCAUGGUUCAAAAGUGAAAGACGGUCUUGCUGUCACUUAUAGAUGGAUCCGCGCUGCAUUAGCUAGUUGGUAAGGUAACGGCUUACCAAGGCAACGAUGCAUAGCCGACCUGAGAGGGUGAUCGGCCACACUGGAACUGAGACACGGUCCAGACUCCUACGGGAGGCAGCAGUAGGGAAUCUUCCGCAAUGGGCGAAAGCCUGACGGAGCAACGACGCGUGAGUGAUGAAGGUCUUCGGAUCGUAAAACUCUGUUAUUAGGGAAGAACAUAUGUGUAAGUAACUGUGCACAUCUUGACGGUACCUAAUCAGAAAGCCACGGCUAACUAAGUG
rnacentral:rRNA from 1 species